rnacentral:rRNA from 1 species
GAUGAACGCUGGCGGCGUGCCUAAUUCAUGCAAGUCGAGCGAACGGACGAGAAGCUUGCUUCUCUGAUGUUAGCGGCGGACGGGUGAGUAACACGUGGAUAACCUACCUAUAAGACUGGGAUAACUUCGGGAAACCGGAGCUAAUACCGGAUAAUAUUUUGAACCGCAUGGUUCAAAAGUAAAAGACGGUCUUGCUGUCACUUAUAGAUGGAUCCGCGCUGCAUUAGCUAGUUGGUAAGGUAACGGCUUACCAAGGCAACGAUGCAUAGCCGACCUGAGAGGGGGAUCGGCCACCUUGGAAUUGAGACAGGGCCCAGACUCCUAGGGGAGGCAGCAGUGGGGAAUUUUCCGCAAGGGGCGAAAGCCUGACGGAGCAACGCCGGGGGAGUGAUGAAGGUCUUCGGAUCGUAAAACUCUUUUAUUAGGGAAAAAAAUAUGUGUAAGUAACUGUGCACAUCUUGACGGGACCUAAGCAGAAAGCCCCGGCUAACUACGU